rnacentral:rRNA from 1 species
GUGAGUAACACGUGGAUAACCUACCUAUAAGACUGGGAUAACUUCGGGAAACCGGAGCUAAUACCGGAUAAUAUAUUGAACCGCAUGGUUCAAUAGUGAAAGACGGUUUUGCUGUCACUUAUAGAUGGAUCCGCGCCGCAUUAGCUAGUUGGUAAGGUAACGGCUUACCAAGGCGACGAUGCGUAGCCGGCCUGAGAGGGUGAUCGGCCACACUGGAACUGAGACACGGUCCAG